GACGAACGCUGGCGGCGUGCCUAAUACAUGCAAGUAGAACGCUGAAGGAGGAGCUUGCUUCUCUGGAUGAGUUGCGAACGGGUGAGUAACGCGUAGGUAACCUGCCUGGUAGCGGGGGAUAACUAUUGGAAACGAUAGCUAAUACCGCAUAAUAGUAGAUGUUGCAUGACAUUUGCUUAAAAGGUGCAAUUGCAUCACUACCAGAUGGACCUGCGUUGUAUUAGCUGGUUGGUGGGGUAACGGCUCACCAAGGCGACGAUACAUAGCCGACCUGAGAGGGUGAUCGGCCACACUGGGACUGAGACACGGCCCAGACUCCUACGGGAGGCAGCAGUAGGGAAUCUUCGGCAAUGGACGGAAGUCUGACCGAGCAACGCCGCGUGAGUGAAGAAGGUUUUCGGAUCGUAAAGCUCUGUUGUAAGAGAAGAACGAGUGUGAGAGUGGAAAGUUCACACUGUGACGGUAUCUUACCAGAAAGGGACGGCUAACUACGUG
rnacentral:rRNA from 1 species